rnacentral:tRNA from 1 species
GCCUGGCUGGCUCAAUCACUAGAGCAUGUGACUCCUGAUCUCAGGGUUGUGAGUUCCAUCCCCAUGUUGGGUA